AGCCCUGAGGGCAGCGACGUCCGCGAUGGGGUGAGGAACCACAACCACAAAGUUCAGAUAGACUUAGACAAGAGCACUAUGGAAACCACUCAAGGUGAUGAGAAGAGAGGGGCUUUUGCUGCAUUUUGGCAUGCUGAGCUCCAGUAGAAGGAUAGCCACUGACCACUUUGCAGACCCAUCACUAUUAGGAUCACUGCAGCACAUCACUCAGCCAUGGCUUUUCCCCAUCUCAGUGAGAAAAGUGGCUCCGUAGAAACCGAUUAUUCACCACAUCAUGCCAUCUUUUCAGCAAAUAUCUACAGCAACUUCUACAGUGACUGUAGGAAACACUGCUUCAGAAGAACCCAGAUACAUUUUGUGCAUGAACACAAAGCAAGAUACAGGGCUUGGAAACAACAUGACCCCCUUGUACAGCAGCAGCAGCACUGCAUGUUACCUGCAGACCAUCUUUGAUUCAGCUACUUGGUGACAGAGACAUAUUCUAGGAGUAGCUGAACAUUAUUUCCAUUUCCUUUUCCUGCCUCCUCCUUGUGAGCAUUAAAAGGUAUUCGUGUUUCAUUUA